rnacentral:rRNA from 1 species
UACGAAGGGGGCUAGCGUUGCUCGGAAUCACUGGGCGUAAAGGGUGCGUAGGCGGAUCGUUAAGUCGGGGGUGAAAUCCUGGAGCUCAACUCCAGAACUGCCUUCGAUACUGGCGAUCUUGAGUCCGGAAGAGGUGAGUGGAACUCCUAGUGUAGAGGUGGAAUUCGUAGAUAUUAGGAAGAACACCAGUGGCGAAGGCGGCUCACUGGUCCGGUACUGACGCUGAGGUGGCGAAAAGCGU